rnacentral:rRNA from 1 species
UACGUAGGGGCCUAGCGUUGUCCGGAAUCAUUGGGCGUAAAGAGCGUGUAGGCGGCCCGGUAAGUCCGCUGUGAAAGUCGGGGGCUCAACCCUCGAAAGCCGGUGGAUACUGUCGGGCUAGAGUGCGGAAGAGGCGAGUGGAAUUCCUGGUGUAGCGGUGAAAUGCGCAGAUAUCAGGAGGAACACCGAUUGCGAAGGCAGCUCGCUGGGACGUAACUGACGCUGAGACGCGAAAGCGUGGGGAGCAAACAGG